GUUUAUACUUACGGAAUGGCUUAUUCGUCAAAACGAUUUUGCAGAUGCCGAACCAUGCAAAUAACGACAAUCUAUUUAUUCAAUAAGUUUUUUUUUUUUCAUUUCAUGACUUCAAAUAGCAUAAACUUUGAAUCUAAAGUAUAUGGGCAUUUCCAUGAGAAAACCUGUAUUAGUGAAAAAAUAAACCGAAAAAAUUAUUUGCAAGGCAUAACUUGGUAUGGACUUUGCGAACCAGACAGUCGAUAUUUGCAAUAAAAAACUUGUUUGUAAACUAUUUCAAAAAUCGAUGAAGGAUAAUAGAAUAUCUGUGUUUUUGGUAAAGUUGAAAAUUAUAUGGAUAUCAGUACAAAUAUACACUACAGCUCUGUAUGAUAACCUGGAUACUGCCUGUAACCUGUAAUAAUACAUGUGUGAUAAAAAUGCGAUAUCACAAACUGUCUAAAUACAAAAUAGUUUUCGUCUUUGUUACAGCGUGUGCUCUUUCCAUUUUAUUUUUUAAAUCAGUAUGGCACUGUCAUCCAAAUCUCCGAAUAAAUGCUACUCCGGUUUCUGAAGUGAGAUCAGCUCCACACUUGCACACACAAGACGAAAAUGUGUUUCUCCCGGCUGAUGACGUAACACUUAAGCAAAUGAAUAAAAAUGAGUUAUGUAAAAUGUAUUAGAAGUACAUAAAUACACUGCAAGUCCUGUGUCGGAAUCAAAUAAGACUAGGGUCAGUGAAAGAUGGUGGAAAAGAGAUCUGUUUGGAUGGAAUUUAUAAACCUCGUCGUCCUUGUCUUGUGUAUUCGUUUGGAUCAAAGUUUCGGUUUGACUUUGAGCUCUCUGUUUUAAGCAAUUUCGGCUGUGAAAUACACACUUUUGAUCCAAGUCAUCAAGUAAGGAAUCGGACGAUCCCAACAGGUAUAAAUUUCCACAUUACUGGACUUUGGAACAGCAGUGAAACAAAUACAUAUGGAGGGGAAAUGAACACCUUAGAUGGUGUUAGAAAGAAUCUAAAUCACGAAAAAUUAAGUACAUAUAGGCACUUAGUAUAUAAUAUACUGUUAAAUUUUAAAAACAAAAACGCUAAAAAAAAACAAUAAUUAAAUGACUAAUGAUUAAUGCAUUAUGUUCUUUGUUCAGAGAGUACUUUUAGGCACUUUUUAACUUCAAUCAGGUGUAUGUCCGCUCCAGUGUCCGAGGGUAUCCAAAACUCCUCUAAACUAAAAAAAUGGACUUAGCUGAUUUUUUAUCCAUCAGACCUACUACAUUGUUCAACAAACCAUUGAAAAAUCAAUACUUGGAUGAAUAAUAAAUGCAAAUAUGUUCACUUUUUAGAGAGUGAUCGAUAUUCUCAAGAUUGAUGUAGAAAGUGCCGAAUGGAGCGCGCUUCCACAAAUGUUCCAGUCGGGUGUUCUCAAAUACGUAAAACAAAUGUGUAUAGAAAUACAUUUCGUGUCAAGAAAAUUCCGCAGUGUAACUUUUGCACAAAAACUUAAAGUUUUAAGAACUUUAUAUGAACACGGUUUUCAUAUAUUCAUGCAUGAACAUAAUUUAUUUUCGGUCAGAAACUUUAUGGACCCAUAUCCGGUCAUUACGACGGCAAAUGAAAUAUCGCUCAUCAAUGUGAACUGGAAAGAUGUUUCCUAAGUCAGGAAUUAUCUAUUGUCAGAUGUUAUAAUAAUAACUGAGCAAUAAAUUAGUGAUAUUCUCUAUACAUGUAUUUUCAAAUUUUGAGGCUCGUGGAACGUUUCUAACAGAAAUAAAAACAAGAGGGUCAUGACGGCCUUAUAUCGCUCAACUGAGUUUAAUUGCUUGCUUGAACUAAUUUCUUUGCUAAAGCUUCAAAAAGAAAAAAACUAGGUGAGAAGGUCAUGGUAAAGAUUCUUCAAGGUGAGUACUGAAAUCUGUUAAAAAUAUACAAAUCUCUUUGCUGUAGCUUCAAAAACAAGAAAUUAGGUCAGUAGGUCAGGGCUAAGAAUAUUAAAGAUGAGUAUUGAAAUCUUUAUCGAAUGUUACUGACGUGGUCCAAAUUUCUAUGCUGUUAUGAUCGGUGUGCAAAACUGUACAUGUCAUCCAAAUUUCAAGGCUGUAUCUUAAAAAAACAAGAAAGUAGGUCAGUAGGUCAAGGUGACAGUCAAGUGACCACUAAUUACUUAGAGUCAUCAAGUAAUUAUAAUUAAACAAUCUAGGAAAUAUGAUCAGAUAAUUUUUUAAGUAUUUUUUACUAUAUAACUCAUAUACAAGUGACCCCCGAGGCGGGACCUCUUUUCACCCCAGGGGCAUAAUUUGAACAAUCUUGUUAGAGAACCAUUAGGCAAUGCAACAUACCAAAUAUUAAAGGCUUAAGCCUUGAACUUUCAGACAAGAAGAUUUUUAUUUUUUUUUUCUUUAUAGGUCUGUGUAAAACUUAGGGGUCCUGGGGCAGGGCCUCUUUUCACCCCAGGGGCAUAAUUUGAACAAUUAUGGUAGAGGGUAAUUAGGCAAUGCAAUACACCAAAUAUCAAAAGCCUAGGCCUUGCAGUUUCAGCCAAGAAGAUUUUUAAAGUUUUUUCCUAAACAAGUUUAUGUAAAACUUGUUACCCCCGCGGCGAAGCCUCUUUUCACCCAAAGGACAUAAUUUGAACAAACUUAGUAGAGGACCACAGGGCAAUGCUACAUACCAAAUAUCAAAGGCCAAGGUCUUGUGGUUUCAGACAAGAAGGUUUUUAAAACUUUUCCUAUAUAAGUCUAUGUAAAACUUGGGACCCUCGGGGUGGGAUCUCUUUUCACCUCAGGGUUUUUAUUUAAACACUUUUGGCAGAGGACUAUAAGGCAAUGCUACAUACCAAAUAUCAAAGGCCUAGGUCUUGUGGUUUCAGACAAGAAGAUUUUUUUUUAAAUCUGUAUGUCUAUAUAAAAUUGGGACCCCCGUGGCGGGGCCUCUUUUCACCCCAGGGUAAUAAUUUGAACAAUUUUGGUAGAGGACUACCAGGCAAUGCUACAUACUAAAUAUUAAAGGCCUAUGUCUUGUGGUUUAAGACAAGAAGAUUUUUUUCCUAUACAAGUCUAUGUAAAACUUGAGACUCAUGGGCGGGCCAUAUUUGAAUCUAGGGGGAUAAUUUGAACAAUCUUGGUAGAGGACCACUAGAUGAUGUUACAUACCAAAUAUCAAAGCCCUAAGAUCAGUGGUUUUGGACAAGAAACUUUUCAAAGUUUUGCCCUAUAUAAAUCUAUGUAAACCAUGUGUCCACCCCACCCCCACCCCGCUCUCCCCAGGGCGGGGCUAUGUUUGACCCUAUGGGGGAUAAUUUGAACAAACUUGGUAUAUGACCAUUAGACGACGGACGCCGGACAAUCACUGACCACAAAAACAGUUGAGCAGUUCGUGCUCAGGUGAGCUAAAAACAACAACGUGUAUAUCAACUGUUUUUUCUUGUUCUUGUUGCAAUUAUUGUUGUUUUUUUAACUGAGACAUGAUGAACUCAGAAAAAGCGAAAUGGAUACCCCAACCCCAUUUUCACCUUUACACAGAUGGAUGGCAC